GACAGACAGGUGAGAGGCAGACAGGUGAGACAGACAGGUGAGGGACAGACAGGUGAGGGACAGACAGGUGAGAGACAGACAGGUGAGGGACAGACAGGUGAGACAGACAGGUGAGACAGACAGAUGAGACAGACAGAUGAGAGACAGACAGGUGAGGGACAGACAGGUGAGACAGACAGAUGAGACAGACAGGUGAGGGACAGACAGCUCUGAUGUGAAAACGAUGCAACAUGUGAAGAAUCUUAUUAUUAAUGUAAUUACUGUACAAACUGAAGAUGAUGAUGAUAAAGAUGAUGAAGAUGAUGAAGAUGAUAAAUGCAAUAAAAAUGUUGCAUGUGUGAAAUAAAUUUGCUCAUUUCACUUUUAAAA